rnacentral:rRNA from 1 species
GACGAACGCUGGCGGCGUGCCUAAUACAUGCAAGUAGAACGCUGAAGCUUGGUGCUUGCACCGAGCGGAUGAGUUGCGAACGGGUGAGUAACGCGUAGGUAACCUGCCUGGUAGCGGGGGAUAACUAUUGGAAACGAUAGCUAAUACCGCAUAAAAUGGAUUAUCGCAUGAUAAUCCAUUAGAAAGGUGACAAAUGCAUC